UACGUAGGGCGCGAGCGUUGUCCGGAUUUAUUGGGCGUAAAGAGCUCGUAGGCGGCUUGUCGCGUCGACUGUGAAAUCCCGCGGCUCAACUGCGGGUCUGCAGUCGAUACGGGCAGGCUAGAGUUCGGAAGAGGAGAGUGGAAUUCCUGGUGUAGCGGUGAAAUGCGCAGAUAUCAGGAAGAACACCAGUGGCGAAGGCGGCUCACUGGCCCGAUACUGACGCUGAGGCACGAAAGCGUGGGGAGCAAACAGG
rnacentral:rRNA from 1 species